rnacentral:rRNA from 1 species
UGGGUUACCUUGUUACGACUUCACCCCAAUCACCAGCCCCACCUUCGACAGCUGCCUCCUUUUCAGGUUAGCCCACUGGCUUCGGGUGUUGCCGGCUCUCAUGGUGUGACGGGCGGUGUGUACAAGGCCCGGGAACGCAUUCACCGCGACAUUCUGAUUCGCGAUUACUAGCAACUCCAGCUUCAUGCAGACGAGUUGCAGCCUGCAAUCCGAACUGGGACCACUUUUAAAAGAUUUGCUCCGCAUCGCUGCCUCGCUUCUCUCUGUAGUGGCCAUUGUAGCACGUGUGUAGCCCAGAGCAUAAGGGGCAUGAUGAUUUGACGUCAUCCCCACCUUCCUCCAGGUUACCCUGGCAGUCUCGUUAGAGUGCCCAACCUAAUGCUGGCAACUAACGAUAGGGGUUGCGCUCGUUGCGGGACUUAACCCAACAUCUCACGACACGAGCUGACGACAACCAUGCACCACCUGUCUCAUCGCUCCCUAAAAGGGCACUCCCGUGUUUCCACAGGAUUCGAUGGAUGUCAAGCCCUGGUAAGGUUCUUCGCGUUGCUUCGAAUUAAACCACAUGCUCCGUUGCUUGUGCGGGCCCCAUCAAUUCUUCUCAG